CAGUCGCCACGGGAAUACGUAGGUGGCGAGCGUUGUCCGGAAUUAUUGGGCGUAAAGGGAGCGCAGGCGGGCGAGUAAGUCUUUCUUAAAAGUGCGGGGCUCAACCCCGUGAGGGGAGAGAAACUACUCAUCUUGAGUGCAGGAGAGGAAAGCGGAAUUCCUAGUGUAGCGGUGAAAUGCGUAGAUAUUGGGAGGAACACCAGUGGCGAAGGCGGCUUUCUGGACUGUAACUGACGCUGAGGCUCGAAAGCCAGGGGAGCGAACGGGAUUAGAUACCCCGGUAGUCACUGUCUCUUAUACA
rnacentral:rRNA from 1 species